rnacentral:rRNA from 1 species
GAUGAACGCUGGCGGCGUGCCUUAAGCAUGCAAGUCGAGCGAAUGAUGAGGAGCUUGCUCCUCUGAUUUAGCGGCGGACGGGUGAGUAACACGUGGGUAAUCUGCCUGUAAGACGGGGAUAACUCCGGGAAACCGGGGCUAAUACCGGAUAACAAGAGAAGAAGCAUUUCUUCUUUUUGAAAGUCGGUUUUGGCUGACACUUACAGAUGAGCCCUCGGCGAAUUAGCGAGUUGGUGAGGUAACGGCUCACCAAGGCGAAGCGGGGUAGCCGACCUGAGAGGGUGAUCGGCCACACUGGGACUGAGACACGGCCCAGACUCCUACGGGAGGCAGCAGUAGGGAAUCUUCGGCAAUGGGCGAAAGCCUGACCGAGCAACGCCGCGUGAGCGAUGAAGGCCUUCGGGUCGUAAAGCUCUGUUGUUAGAGAAGAACAAGUACGAGAGUAACUGCUCGUACCUUGACGGUACCUAACCAGAAAGCCACGGCUAACUCCGUGCCAGCCGCCGCGGUAA